GACGAAGGAUCCAAGCGUUAUCCGGAUUCAUUGGGUUUAAAGGGAGCGUAGGCGGACUAAUAAGUCAGUGGUGAAAGCCGAUAGCUUAACUAUCGAAUUGCCAUUGAUACUGUAAGUCUAGAGUACAGAUGAUGUUGGCGGAAUAUGACAUGUAGCGGUGAAAUGCAUAGAUAUGUCAUAGAACACCGAUUGCGAAGGCAGCUGACAAAACUGUAACUGACGCUGAGGCUCGAAAGUGCGGGGAUCAAACAGG
rnacentral:rRNA from 1 species